rnacentral:RNase_P_RNA from 1 species
CGUGCAAGUCGACUUGUCGCUGCCUUGAUUCUUUCGAGGGAGAGGAAAGUCCGGGCAACAUAGAGCACCAUACUUCCUAACGGGAAGGGUUUAUUCUGGCGACGGAAUAAAUACAGCCAGUGCAACAGAAAAUAUACCGUCCCGAUCCCGAUUUGUCGGAAUCAGGAUAAGGGUGAAAAGGUGGAGUAAGAGCCCACCGCUCCGACAGUGAUGUAGGAGGCAUGGCAAACCUUAUGGGUUGAAAGAUCAAAUAGGUCCCGCAUUGGAUUCAGUUCCAAGAAGAGUUGCUCGCUCUUACGCGGGAUGGGUAGAUCGAUGGAUCCUGACUGUGAAGUCAGGGCUAGAUAAAUGACAAGAAUCUCUUGCGAUUUCGCAUAGGGAAACAGAACCCGGCUUAUAGACUUGCACUUUUU